CCUACGGGAGGCAGCAGUGAGGAAUAUUGGUCAAUGGACGCAAGUCUGAACCAGCCAUGCCGCGUGCAGGAUGACGGCUCUAUGAGUUGUAAACUGCUUUUGUACGAGGGCAAACCCCGAUACGUGUAUCGGGUUGAAAGUAUCGUACGAAUAAGGAUCGACUAACUCCGUGCCAGCAGCCGCGGUAAUACGGAGGAUCCGAGCGUUAUCCGGAUUUAUUGGGUUUAAAGGGUGCGUAGGCGGUUUGGUAAGUUAGGGGGGAAAUGUCGGGGCUCAACCCCGAAACUGCCUUUAAAACUGUUUGACUAGAGAAUAGUUGCGGUAGGCGGAAUGUGUGGUGUAGCGGUGAAAUGCUUAGAGAUCAUACAGAACACCGAUUGCGAAGGCAGCUUACC
rnacentral:rRNA from 1 species